AGCAACCGGAGACGCGCGAAUCGGCCUGCACCUACAAGGUGACAGGCGUUCCCCAUACAGUUCUUUUUUGGAUAUGCUUUUCUUACCGCUUCCCGCGCCUGAGUAACCAAGGGCACUGAAAGUCAAUGAACUGCAAAAAAAUUGAAUCUACAACAAUGGUGAAAAAUGUUUGCCCUGACCUCAUCUCUACAACAGUUCCUCUGCCCUUCCUGCAAGCAUAGAUCGGAGCUCCUCUCUGUAGUCAAACAGCCCAGGAUUGGAAUCUUUGCUGCUCUGAGAUUUCAGAAAGGUAUUGGACUUGCUCAAGUCUUGUUCCUCCUCUGCAAAAUGAGAACAGUUAUACCUUCUUAUAGUGUUGCAAGAAUUAAGUAAAACAAUGAGUUUCCUUGAGAUAGUUUGCUUUUUUGUUUAUCGGAAAAGAAAUAAUCAACACAACAAUGAUAUGAACUGAUGUUAGAUUUUAAAAUGCAGGGAAUGGAGCUAACUAAGAGGACAGCAGGGUAAUUCAUGUCAUUAAGCCAAAAAACAUUGAACAACAGAGUUCAAAAAUCUGGGCAGAUAUCAGUUCAGCUUCAAGAAUCCCAACAGCUGUUGCCUUCACUCAAGAAUGUCCUGCCAUUAACAUGACUCAUCUUCAAACUUCUUUAGUGUGCACAUCACUCAGUACAAAUUUUUAAGAAAAAGAAUCAGAUUGCAUCCCCCCUGCCUAACAGAUGGGCUUUUCUUCGCCAGCAUUCCCUCCAAAUGCAAUCGACCGUGGCUAGAGAGGAGGCUCCCAGAACACAAAGAGGUUUGCAGAAUAUUUCAAGAGAUCAAGGUUGGCGCGCACCCCUAGAAGUAUGUGGCUCCAGUACUUGGAAAUUCCUGGCACGUAAUGAGCACUUUAAUGAGUCUUAGCUAUUGUUACUGCUUGUAGAAUAACCUGCAAUUUCCAGCCUCCAUUCAUUUGAUUAUACCAUUUCUUUUAGUGCUGAAAUGUUACCUCCCCUUU